rnacentral:rRNA from 1 species
AACUAAUAAACUAGCCAACACCCAAACCAAGCUUCAAAUAGAAAUCCCUAAACAAAACAAACCCACACAAACUAAACCAUUUACCCCCCUCAGUACAGGAGAUGAAAAAGGAAAUGCCGAGCAAUAAAAAGAGUACCGCAAGGGAAAGUUGAAAAAGGAAUGAAACAACACUUAAGUCCCAAACCCCAGAGAUUUAACCUCGUACCUUUUGCAUCAUGGUUUAGCCAGAACCUUAAGCAAAGAGAACUUUAGUUUUUACCCCGAAACUAGACGAGCUACUCCGAGACAGCCUAAUCAGGGCUAACCCGUCUCUGUAGCAAAAGAGUGGGAAGAGCUCCGAGUAGAGGUGACAUACCUACCGAGCCUAGUUAUAGCUGGUUGCCUGAGACAUGAAUAUAAGUUCAGCCCCCUAAGUUCUCAUGCCUUAAAUUUUUAAACGAAGGUGACAGAAGUUAGCAGAGUUAGUUAAAGGAGGGACAGCUCCUUUAAGCCCGGAUACAACCGCCCCAGGAGGUUAAAGAUUAAA